GAAAAGGGGAACAAAGCUCGUGAGAUAAAUAUGUACGACCAGAGCGUAGACCUAGAGGAGGACGAUGCGUUAAAUGAAACGAAAGAUAAGGAACGGCGGCAGUCGC